rnacentral:rRNA from 1 species
CCUACGGGAGGCAGCAGUGGGGAAUCUUGCACAAUGGGGGAAACCCUGAUGCAGCGACGCCGCGUGAGCGAUGAAGCCCUUCGGGGUGUAAAGCUCUUUCGACCCGGAAGAUAAUGACGGUACGGGGAGAAGAAGCUGCGGCUAACUACGUGCCAGCAGCCGCGGUAAUACGUAGGCAGCGAGCGUUGUUCGGAGUUACUGGGCGUAAAGCGUGCGUAGGCGGUGGCCCAAGUCUGGUGUGAAAUCUCCCGGCUUAACCGGGAGGGUGCGCCGGAAACUGGGUCGCUGGAGUACUGGAGAGGCAGGCGGAAUUCCUGGUGUAGCGGUGAAAUGCGUAGAUAUCAGGAGGAACACCCGUGGUGUAGACGGCCUGCUGGACAGUCACUGACGCUGAGGCACGAAAGCGUGGGGAGCAAACAGGAUUAGAUACCCUGGUAGU